GGUGCUAACGUCCGUCGUGAAGAGGGAAACAACCCAGACCGCCAGCUAAGGUCCCAAAGUCAUGGUUAAGUGGGAAACGAUGUGGGAAGGCCCAGACAGCCAGGAUGUUGGCUUAGAAGCAGCCAUCAUUUAAAGAAAGCGUAAUAGCUCACUGGUCGAGUCGGCCUGCGCGGAAGAUGUAACGGGGCUAAACCAUGCACCGAAGCUGCGGCAGCGACACUGUGUGUUGUUGGGUAGGGGAGCGUUCUGUAAGCCUGUGAAGGUGUGUCGUGAGGCAUGCUGGAGGUAUCAGAAGUGCGAAUGCUGACAUAAGUAACGAUAAAGCGGGUGAAAAGCCCGCUCGCCGGAAGACCAAGGGUUCCUGUCCAACGUUAAUCGGGGCAGGGUGAGUCGACCCCUAAGGCGAGGCCGAAAGGCGUAGUCGAUGGGAAACGGGUUAAUAUUCCCGUACUUGGUGUUACUGCGAAGGGGGGACGGAGAAGGCUAUGUUGGCCGGGCGACGGUUGUCCCGGUUUAAGCGUGUAGGUGUGUGUUCCAGGUAAAUCCGGUUCACUUUAACACUGAGGCGUGACGACGAGGCACUACGGUGCUGAAGCAACAAAUGCCCUGCUUCCAGGAAAAGCCUCUAAGCAUCAGGUAACAUCAAAUCGUACCCCAAACCGACACAGGUGGUCAGGUAGAGAAUACCAAGGCGCUUGAGAGAACUCGGGUGAAGGAACUAGGCAAAAUGGUGCCGUAACUUCGGGAGAAGGCACGCUGACACGUAGGUGAAGUGAUUUACUCAUGGAGCUGAAGUCAGUCGAAGAUACCAGCUGGCUGCAACUGUUUAUUAAAAACACAGCACUGUGCAAACACGAAAGUGGACGUAUACGGUGUGACGCCUGCCCGGUGCCGGAAGGUUAAUUGAUGGGGUCAGCGCAAGCGAAGCUCCUGAUCGAAGCCCCGGUAAACGGCGGCCGUAACUAUAACGGUCCUAAGGUAGCGAAAUUCCUUGUCGGGUAAGUUCCGACCUGCACGAAUGGCGUAAUGAUGGCCAGGCUGUCUCCACCCGAGACUCAGUGAAAUUGAACUCGCUGUGAAGAUGCAGUGUACCCGCGGCAAGACGGAAAGACCCCGUGAACCUUUACUAUAGCUUGACACUGAACAUUGAGCCUUGAUGUGUAGGAUAGGUGGGAGGCUUUGAAGCGUGGACGCCAGUCUGCGUGGAGCCGACCUUGAAAUACCACCCUUUAAUGUUUGAUGUUCUAACGUGGACCCGUGAUCCGGGUUGCGGACAGUGUCUGGUGGGUAGUUUGACUGGGGCGGUCUCCUCCUAAAGAGUAACGGAGGAGCACGAAGGUUGGCUAAUCCUGGUCGGACAUCAGGAGGUUAGUGCAAUGGCAUAAGCCAGCUUGACUGCGAGCGUGACGGCGCGAGCAGGUGCGAAAGCAGGUCAUAGUGAUCCGGUGGUUCUGAAUGGAAGGGCCAUCGCUCAACGGAUAAAAGGUACUCCGGGGAUAACAGGCUGAUACCGCCCAAGAGUUCAUAUCGACGGCGGUGUUUGGCACCUCGAUGUCGGCUCAUCACAUCCUGGGGCUGAAGUAGGUCCCAAGGGUAUGGCUGUUCGCCAUUUAAAGUGGUACGCGAGCUGGGUUUAGAACGUCGUGAGACAGUUCGGUCCCUAUCUGCCGUGGGCGCUGGAGAACUGAGGGGGGCUGCUCCUAGUACGAGAGGACCGGAGUGGACGCAUCACUGGUGUUCGGGUUGUCAUGCCAAUGGCACUGCCCGGUAGCUAAAUGCGGAAGAGAUAAGUGCUGAAAGCAUCUAAGCACGAAACUUGCCCCGA
rnacentral:rRNA from 2 species